CAGAAAUCAGCACUGAGAAACUGCACCAGUCGUUUUCCUCAUAAUUUCCUUGUGUUUUACAGCAUGUGUGAAGACAUCGAUGCACACAAACAGAAGACUGAAGCGGGUAAAACACCAGAAGAGGCACCCGGGAAUUAUGUAACCAUGCCAUUAGAGGAGCGGAUCCAAGAUAAUAAAGUGAACUAACGGAGAUAAUUGAAUUUUGUAUCGUCCCCAAUUACAAUUUCACCUUGACUUGCGUAAUUUGGAAUUGCCCCCGGGCCAAGAUGACCCUCUCUUCUGCCCAAUUGCCUGUUUUGAACAUCCAUCUACACUGCAUUUAUCACCGGAAUUUCUCAAAAUAUCAUUUUCUUUGUUUAUUUCAACACUCGACCAGUUGACAUUUACC